rnacentral:rRNA from 1 species
GACGAACGCUGGUGGCGUGCUUAACACAUGCAAGUCGAACGGGAUUUAGUAAACAGCAGCCUCGGUGGAAGAUUACUAAUGAGAGUGGCGAACGGGUGAGUAACGCGUGAGCAACCUGCCUAUGACAGUGGGAUAGCCUCGGGAAACCGGGAUUAAUACCGCAUAAAAUCGUAGAAACACAUGUUUUAACGGUCAAAGAUUUAUCGGUCAUAGAUGGGCUCGCGUCUGAUUAGCUAGUUGGUGAGAUAACAGCCCACCAAGGCGACGAUCAGUAGCCGGUCUGAGAGGAUGAACGGCCACAUUGGAACUGAGACACGGUCCAAACUCCUACGGGAGGCAGCAGUGGGGAAUAUUGCACAAUGGGGGAAACCCUGAUGCAGCGACGCCGCGUGAACGAAGAAGGUAUUCGUAUCGUAAAGUUCUGUCCUAUGGGAAGAUAAUGACAGUACCAUAGAAGAAAGCUCCGGCUAAAUACGU